rnacentral:rRNA from 1 species
ACGGGAGGCAGCGGUGGGGAAUAUUGCACAAUGGGGGAAACCCUGAUGCAGCGACGCCGCGUGAGUGAAGAAGUAUUUCGGUAUGUAAAGCUCUAUCAGCAGGGAAGAUAAUGACGGUACCUGACUAAGAAGCACCGGCUAAAUCCGUGCCAGCAGCCGCGGUAAUACGUAUGGUGCAAGCGUUAUCCGGAUUUACUGGGUGUAAAGGGUGCGUAGGUGGUAUGGCAAGUCAGAAGUGAAAUGCGGGGGCUCAACCCCUGAACUGCUUUUGAAACUGUCAAACUAGAGUGCAGGAGAGGCAAGCGGAAUUCCUAGUGUAGCGGUGAAAUGCGUAGAUAUUAGGAGGAACACCAGUGGCGAAGGCGGCUUGCUGGACUGUAACUGACACUGAGGCACGAAAGCGUGGGGAGCAAACAGGAUUAGAUACCCUGGUA